rnacentral:rRNA from 1 species
UACGAAGGGGGCUAGCGUUGCUCGGAAUCACUGGGCGUAAAGGGUGCGUAGGUGGUCCGUUAAGUCAGUUGUGAAAUCCCCGGGCUCAACUCGGGAACUGCUUCUGAUACUGGCGGACUUGAGGCCAGUAGGGGUCACUAGAACUGACGGUGGAGCGGUGAAAUGCGUAGAUAUCGUCAGGAAUGCCGGUGGUGAAGACGGGUGACUGGGCUGGUUCUGACACUGAGGCACGAAAGCGUGGGGAGCGAACGGG